rnacentral:sRNA from 1 species
UUUUUAUAUUUUUCCAGCCCCCUUAACAAAUUCUAUCAUUAGUUCUGAAAAGUGAAGAACCCUUCACUUCUGGAAUUUCCCUAAAAUUUUCUGAUAUUUUGAAACAUCAAUUUCCUCCUCUCCUAGUUUUUUACCGGGAGGACCAGGAUCUUUCCUUCUCAUUAAUUGUCCUUCAUUUUAUGCUUUGUUUCUUCAUCUGUUUUUAAGUAAUGUGCUAUUGAGUACUCUUGAAAUUAUAAUAUCAUUCACAUAAUCUUGUUAAAUAGAGAAAAAUAGUUAACAAAUAUUUUUAACCAAGUAUAUUGCAUUUAAAACAACUUCUCUUCCAGCAUGAAGCUAUACAAUUGGAAACAGAAAAUAUGAUUUUAAAGAAGAAAAUAAAAGUUACUGAAAACCAUGUGAAGCAGAUCAUAGGAAAGAUCAGUGAAGAGAGGCAGGAGGGCCUUUGGAAAUUUAUCAAGGAAUUUGUAAAAUCAGAGGAAAGAGAAGAUAACGCUCAAGCAGCUGAACAAAUGGC